rnacentral:rRNA from 1 species
AUACGGAGGAUGCAAGCGUUAUCCGGAUUUAUUGGGUUUAAAGGGUGCGUAGGCGGAUGAUUAAGCGUGAGGUGAAAUGCCACUGCUCAACAGUGGAGCUGCCUCGCGAACUGGUUGUCUUGAAUGACUCUGCCGUGGGAGGAAUGUGUAGUGUAGCGGUGAAAUGCGUAGAUAUGCCACAGAACGCCGAUAGCGGAGGCAGCUCGCCAGGCCUGCAUUGACGCUCGGGCACGAAAGCGUGGGGAUCGAACAGGAUUAGAUACCCUGGUAGUCCACGCCGUAAACGAUGGGCGCUCGUCGUCGGCGGCAGACAGUCGGCGGCCAAGCGAAAGCGAUAAGCGCCCCACCUGGGGAGUACGGUCGCAAGGCUGAAACUCAAAUGAAUUGACGGGG